AUGGAAGUGAUGAUAAUUUCCCCAGAUGAUCGACGCUGAUGAAACUGAGCGAUUUUUCGUUUCUCUUUUGAGAAACCAAGCCAGAUGUUCUGAUCCAU